CUACACGCUGGAGUUGUUAUCGUACGAAAUGUAGCACAAUCUUCUCGGUGGGUUUCUCGUUGCUUUUGCUUGCUCUAAGAUGAAACGCAGGAAUGAUAGGAACACUUUUACGCUGUUGUUUGUACGGUGGCAGCUGUCUAUCGGUACGGUUGCGGAAGAUGCUGCGCGAGUGAGCCCUUGGCAAUGUGAUGAAUGGGACGUACAAGAGAUCACGGGGUUUUGCCACAGCUGGCCCAUACACAUCACUGUGGACCCUUUUUUACAUUCGAAUUAGCGGUGAGCCGCUCACGUUAAGGCAGUAGAAGCGGAUAUUCCUGCCGCAUCCGAUUGCGCUGAUGCACUUUUUUCUGUCGCUGUAUUUUCCCCACCGAUUAACGUUUCGACCUUACUGACAUGGCAUGCACUUGGGUUGCGCCAGCUCUCACCCGCGUUCAGCAGCAUCAUCCAUCAUCAUCAUCAUCAUCAUCGAUACAAGCGGCAACGUUCACACGAGUGAGAAACGUCAGUUGAAUUGCCGUCGUUCUUCCUGCCGCUAGCGUUGUUGCUGCUGCUGAUGUUGUUAUGCUUGCUUAUGCUUUUACACCACUUAUGCUCACUGUCACCGUUUAAACCGCUGGCGGAGGGACAAGGACAGCGAACACCCAAUUGUUGAGAACUCACUGUAUAUGCUUUCACGCGUUCGAACCGGAAUGUUUCUCACCGUAACGUUCGUGUCACUUAGCGCGCGGGACGUGAGAGAUUUGCUUCGCCACACACAGCAGCACUAGAGAAAAGCGCAUUAAUUUGUGCACAAUCGCGUGCAAGAGUUUUGCCUUCAGCUGUCACCCAGCGGCAAAAAGUAAACAACGAUCUGAACGAAACACCACGCACACAUAACCUCACUCACUCUACACACGGGGAACGUAGGGGAAAGUAUCACCGAUGUUUCCUGCCGCCGGACGUUCUGGUGAAAUCCUAAUCCCGGUCACUUUUGGUUUAUCAAACCACAACGUCCUCACGACGAACGCACGGAACACACAAUAAUGGAUGUAUAGCGCGUCCGACUAGCGACAGCUGUAGCAUCCGUAGCGUACCGGAACAGAACCGUAUGCACUUUCGAUGUAGGGAAUAAACGGAACCAGCCGCCUGGACGCGCAUUUGCUAUUCAACCCGAGCCGACAAUUCUACCGACGACGACGACGACGACAACGACGUUACCCGUUUGCAUCGCACUCACUUUAUGAAAAGCGCCAUCGCGUCAGCCGCGGAAUCACAAACGGCAUUUUGCUAUUGUGCGUGCAUGCAGUGCGAGUGAGAGAGAGCGACAGCAACUCUCUGUCCAGUGCAAACGAGAGUGAGCGGAAGCCAGAUGCUUGUAAUGCGUGUGUUUUUGCCUUUAGUAACGGCUGACAGAGCGAACCAGAUGUAUUGUGUUUGAUAGAAGGAGAGAGGGGAUAGAGCGAUGGGAGCUGGAACGCACAACACCUGUGAAUUUCCCACGCACUUUUAGGGGAUGAAUGUAAUGUGCGAGAGUGAGCCAGAGCGUGAGCGAAACGACAGGCGGUAGCGGAGUUUUGACAGCUUAAGGGAAGCUGUUUAUAUCACGUUGGUUGGCAGCUUGAGGCUUUCGAAGGUGGGUACGCAAUGGAAAAUCAGUCGAAUGGAAUAUGUAGGAACUGUUUGAUUCAUUCAAUUAUGUUCUUUAUGUAAAUAAGGAAAACAUUUAGCUGAUUA